GAUGAACGCUGGCGGCGUGCUUAACACAUGCAAGUCGAACGGGAAACCUUUUAUUGCAGCUUCGGCAGAUUUAGCUGGUUUCUAGUGGCGGACGGGUGAGUAACGCGUGGGUAACCUGCCUUAUGCAGGGGGAUAACAGUCAGAAAUGGCUGCUAAUACCGCAUAAGCGCACAGAGCUGCAUGGCUCAGUGUGAAAAACUCCGGUGGUAUAAGAUGGACCCGCGUUGGAUUAGCUGGUUGGUGGGGUAACGGCCCACCAAGGCGACGAUCCAUAGCCGGCCUGAGAGGGUGAACGGCCACAUUGGGACUGAGACACGGCCCAGACUCCUACGGGAGGCAGCAGUGGGGAAUAUUGCACAAUGGGGGAAACCCUGAUGCAGCGACGCCGCGUGAAGGAAGAAGUAUCUCGGUAUGUAAACUUCUAUCAGCAGGGAAGAUAAUGACGGUACCUGACUAAGAAGCCCCGGCUAACUACGU
rnacentral:rRNA from 1 species